rnacentral:rRNA from 1 species
AUGAACGCUGGCGGCGUGCCUAAUACAUGCAAGUCGAGCGAACAGAUGAGGAGCUUGCUCCUCUGACGUUAGCGGCGGACGGGUGAGUAACACGUGGAUAACCUACCUAUAAGACUGGGAUAACUUCGGGAAACCGGAGCUAAUACCGGAUAAUAUAUUGAACCGCAUGGUUCAAUAGUGAAAGACGGUUUUGCUGUCACUUAUAGAUGGAUCCGCGCCGCAUUAGCUAGUUGGUAAGGUAACGGCUUACCAAGGCAACGAUGCGUAGCCGACCUGAGAGGGUGAUCGGCCACACUGGAACUGAGGCACGGUCCAGACUCCUACGGGAGGCAGCAGUAGGGAAUCUUCCGCAAUGGGCGAAAGCCUGACGGAGCAACGCCGCGUGAGUGAUGAAGGUCUUCGGAUCGUAAAACUCUGUUAUUAGGGAAGAACAAAUGUGUAAGUAACUAUGCACGUCUUGACGGUACCUAAUCAGAAAGCCACGGCUAACUACGUG